AAAAUAACAAAUAACUUCUUAUGUGUUAUCUGUUCUUUGAUUGUAUUGAAAUGCUAGCUUAAAGUUAUCUUUGAGUUCAUAUUGCUAGUUAUACUUUUAAUUUGUUUCAUGAUUAUUUGUUUUAGGUUUUCUAACAUGAUUUUGACAGUACUUAAUUUUGAAAGUACUUGAUUUCGAAAGUUAUCUAACUUGAUUAAAGAAACUUUGGGGCAAAAUCUCUUCAUUUUGUGUAAGCAACUGUGUUUUUUCUCUUUGUUCUUGUUGUUGUUGGUGUUGAUUGAUUUGGGGGCGAAUUAAGUGAGUAUAUAUAGAGUGUUCCAUUGUGCUGUGUUUAUUACUACAUAUCAUUUUUGAGGUCAAACAACAACUAGCUUAAUGUUUAGCCAUUGAUUAUAACUACUGAUUCUUGUAGUUUAUUCUUCUGAAUUCAACUCUAUGUUUGAUUUUGAAAUGAUUGUUCAUUUGAGCUGUGUAGUGUUUGCAUGGUUUAGGAUGUGGUGUUUGGUUACACCACCAAUAUAUAUUGUAUGAGGAAGGUUCUUUUCUUGAUGAGACUAUUGAGAAAAUUGAAGAAAAUAAUAAGAGUAUGAAGAAUGUUUUUACAAAGAUUUCCAUGAUUCUAAUGAAGAAUAAUAGAAGUUUUUAGAAAUAAUAUGAGUUUGUGUGUUUCGAUGAUGAUUUUGUUGGUGUGUAUUUGGUAUUGACUUAGGAGAAUCAAAGUUAUGUUUGUGAGCAUAUAUAGAUAAUUUUUAGUAGGUGGAGUGUGAAGGUUAAAAACGUGUGUAAUGAAUUGAAAGUGAUAAUGAUGAAUGACACAGAUACAAACUAUUAAUGCAAUUGCAAGAAAUGAUUAAUUGAAUAUAGGUAUAAAAUCUUAUCUAGUUGAAAAAUUUGCAUUACUUAAUAAUUCAGAAUGUUGAAGCUUAAUUACUUGAACGUGCAAGUAAAACUAGUGUCUAAAUCUUCCUUCCUGCUAAAUAACAUGAAUGAAAAAUUCAGAUAAAAUGUAGAGAAGUGAAAUUCCAAUGCCAAAUUCAGUUAUGUAUUUAUUUUGAACACUAAGCAUCUAAUUAAGUACACAUUUAUUUAGUUGAAUGAUACUUUGUAGGUUUCUCUUCUACUAAAUUUUACUUAUGCUCCCAUUUGGAGAGCUACUGAUUUUUUGUUUAUGAUAUUUUUGCAUGUUAAUAUUGUUCAAAUUUUUAUUAACUUAGCAGACAUAAUCUUAAGAAUCAAAAGUUAAAAAUAUCCUCAUUGUAAAAUGAGUUUGGAAAAUAGUUUAAAUUUUUGUACUUAGAUGCUUAUAUUCGUUGAUUAGUUGCUGAAUCUAUCUUUUCUGGAUGAUUAAUUUCUAUCUUGCAUAAGUCCUUAAAUGCAGUGAUUUAACUAACUGUCCAUCGUGUUGUUGUAUGAGUAUGCUACUGAUUUUAGAAAAAAAUGUUACUAUUGAUUGAAAUGUUAGCCAUGAAAUUAUCUUAAGAUGUUUGUUAAAUAGUGAUUAAUGAGAAGUUGAAUCGUUAAACCUGAACAAUCUUUAUAUUUUAGUUGAUUAGUUACUGAAUCUAUCUUUUCUGGAUGACUGAUUUCUAUCUAUUGCCUAUUGCUGGUUAUUAGUGUCCUCUCUUUUAUUUUGGUUUGCUUAAUUAAUUAACUCAAGCAUCUAUUAGGUUUUAAUUGUUUUACUAACCAUGAGACAUUUGUUAGGUUUCCCCCCAAGAGAUUAGAGUCAACUGCAGUAGGUUUGGUCUAUUUGCCUUUAUUAAAACAGGAUUGUGUUCUUUGAAUAAUAUUUUGGAUAAGCGUUUUGUAAUUAAACGCGGAUCUAGUCAAGGAUGACUCUUAAUGAUGAUGUUAGCAUUUUGUUUCCUUCUAAGAGUUCUAUGAAGGGAGUCUAUAGAUUUUACAUCAGGGCAAAACCACAUGAUUAACUUAUGACAAUUGAAUUAAAUGCGGCCCCUGAUUCAUCUGUACAUAUAAAGUAUGUUGAGCUUCUGCCGAAGACAAGGAGUUGGUUGAGCCUGGUGAAGCAUAAUGUCAGUUUUUUAGAGGCUGAACAUGGUGGCUGAAGCCUGAUAGUGGUUUGUCUAGAUUUGGUUGUUAUAAUUAAGCUAGCCUGUUCAGCAAUGUAAGCCUGAGCUCUAUGAUAUUUAACUAACUGUCUAAUUUUAGUGGCUAAUGUUUUAAAAUCUGUAUCUUUUUAGUAUGGAAUGGCUCUUCAAAUUCUUCAUAUAGUUUGAAUGUUGCUGUUAUGAUGAAAAUAGACUGUACUUUGUUAUUUGAAAAACACCCAAAAAGGUCUGGCUGGUGCUGAUGUAUACUAUGCUUAUAAUGAUGGUGAAGAAAAUGACGGUGAAGAAGAAGAGAGGCAGCUCGUUCAGGAGAGAAAAAAUCAACAACAAUCACUCAAACUAGGAACUUAUGCAAAUAAUGCAAGAAAAUUUAAUGGAGGAACUUAUGGAGUUUUCAAACUUAUAAGAUUCUCAUGAGGGUGAUCACGAGGAUGCCUAUUCCAGCUGAAAAGUGGAAAAAUUAUCCGAUUGAAGCAAAGGAUGAGUUAUUUAAGGACUUUAUGGAUAAAUAUAAAUUUACAUCCGAUUAUGAUCGUAAUAUGGCAAGAACUGUAUGGGAAAGAACAUGCUUGGAUCGGUAUCCCGAUCAUUUUAAAAAUGCAAGAAAAAUAGCUUUACGAGAAGUGAACUCAACGAAUUUGGUCGACACUAAGGGUCAUGGUCCGAAAGGAAUGAAGGAAGAGAGGUAUGGGACGGUUUGGUUGACAUUUUGGUUGAAACCAGAGUGGAAGAAGAAAUUCGAUGCAAAUCGUUGUAACAGAGUUGCCUUGCACUUUAUUAUAGUUAAAAUGAUCAAAUGGUUCUAGUUCUGUUUCAUUCAUUGUUUUUGCUCAUAGUUGCUUCUGUGGUUCUGUUUCUUUCAUUAUUUUUGCUUUAGUUUUCAAUUAAUUAGUGUGAUUUCUCAUUAAAGAUGCAUAUUGAUUGUAUCAAAUGGUUCUGGUUCUGAUUCUGUUUCUUUCAUUGUUUUUGCUCAUAAUUGCUUCUGGUUCUGUUUCUAAUAAUAUGUCUAUAAGAUUGAAACUUAUUGAAUUCAGUCAAGAAAUACAUUGAAAAUCAUGCAUGAUGAGACAGAAAAUUGUUGCUGAAACUUGAAGUUGUAGAGUAAACUAAGGUCAACUGUUAAAUUUUCCAUGAUCAUCUAUAUAGAAAUGAAGCAUUUCUUUCACUUUUGGCUGCUAAUAAUUGAACAUUUUUGUUUACAAUUUGUCAUUGUUGUUUAUUGUUGAUUCUAUAAUGUAAAUUGUGGUUUAUGAAUACUUUUUAAAUGUGAA